CGAGCGAAACGGGAAGAGCCCAAACCAACAAGCUUGCUUGUUGGGGUUGUAGGACACUCUAUACGGAGUUACAAAGGACGACAUUAGACGAAUCAUCUGGAAAGAUGAAUCAAAGAAGGUAAUAAUCCUGUAGUCGAAAAUGUUGUCUCUCUUGAGUGGAUCCUGAGUACGACGGAACACGUGAAAUUCCGUCGGAAUCUGGGAGGACCAUCUCCUAAGGCUAAAUACUCUCUAGUGACCGAUAGUGAACCAGUACCGUGAGGGAAAGGUGAAAAGCACCCCGGAAGGGGAGUGAAAUAGAACCUGAAACCGUGUGCUUACAAGUAGUCAGAGCCCGUUAAUGGGUGAUGGCGUGCCUUUUGUAGAAUGAACCGGCGAGUUACGAUUUGAUGCAAGGUUAAGCAGUAAAUGUGGAGCCGUAGCGAAAGCGAGUCUGAAUAGGGCGUUUAGUAUUUGGUCGUAGACCCGAAACCAGGUGAUCUACCCUUGGUCAGGUUGAAGUUCAGGUAACACUGAAUGGAGGACCGAACCGACUUACGUUGAAAAGUGAGCGGAUGAACUGAGGGUAGCGGAGAAAUUCCAAUCGAACCUGGAGAUAGCUGGUUCUCUCCGAAAUAGCUUUAGGGCUAGCCUCAAGUGAUGAUUAUUGGAGGUAGAGCACUGUUUGGACGAGGGGCCCCUCUCGGGUUACCGAAUUCAGACAAACUCCGAAUGCCAAUUAAUUUAACUUGGGAGUCAGAACAUGGGUGAUAAGGUCCGUGUUCGAAAGGGAAACAGCCCAGACCACCAGCUAAGGUCCCAAAAUAUAUGUUAAGUGGAAAAGGAUGUGGCGUUGCCCAGACAACUAGGAUGUUGGCUUAGAAGCAGCCAUCAUUUAAAGAGUGCGUAAUAGCUCACUAGUCGAGUGACACUGCGCCGAAAAUGUACCGGGGCUAAACAUAUUACCGAAGCUGUGGAUUGUCCUUUGGACAAUGGUAGGAGAGCGUUCUAAGGGCGUUGAAGCAUGAUCGUAAGGACAUGUGGAGCGCUUAGAAGUGAGAAUGCCGGUGUGAGUAGCGAAAGACGGGUGAGAAUCCCGUCCACCGAUUGACUAAGGUUUCCAGAGGAAGGCUCGUCCGCUCUGGGUUAGUCGGGUCCUAAGCUGAGGCCGACAGGCGUAGGCGAUGGAUAACAGGUUGAUAUUCCUGUACCACCUAUAAUCGUUUUA
rnacentral:rRNA from 1 species